rnacentral:lncRNA from 1 species
CCACAUACUUGUGACUAUGCCCUCGUGUACUGUAAUUCACUUUACACUGACUAUAUGUCCUACUCAUCUAAUUCCCUCCUUUCCCCACUGUUCUGCAGAAGCAAUCCUGGCCAUUGAGAAAUGACAACUUUACCUUCAAGGGAAAAAAAAAACCAAAAACACAGCACUUGCUUUAGUUCCAAACUUCCUUACAGAAAUAUGCAGGCUUACUGGUUUUAGGAGUCAGCAGGGUUCAUGCUUUUGAGUUCCUCUCUGCAACCAUGACAACAGAAAGUUUAUUUCAAAUGAAAGCAAGAGAGAAAUUCAAGACUUUGCAUUGACAAAAACACCAAAGUGAAAUUUACUAUGAGAAUCAGACUGAAGUGUUGCAGAUUUGAACCUCAGAGAGAAAUCAGAGCCCUUCAAAAUACGAAAGCUGAACCAUCACCACCACAAUAAGUGAAGGCUCUUAGCCAACAACAAAUAAAAGGUAAUGCAACUGAAUCCUUAUUGCAAUCUAAAAUAAACUGAUUUACUAAAUAGUUGGUAUUCAUGUAUAUGGACAGCUACCUGACUGAACAUUUACCAGCUUGAUCACAUGUUCAAACUUUUCCACAGAAACUUGUAAGGAUCAGCAUGGCCAGAAAUACUACACACAAGCAAAAUGUUUAGAUACUGUAGCCCCUCUGGAAAACUGAAGUUCAGAUAGGGUAACACACUGACCUGAAUCACAGAAUUUUCAGUUCAAUGUCAACACCUAAAUGGUUCUAUGACAGCUAAACCUUCCUUUUGAAAUACAGUUAAUAUCUUCCUGUGUGAAGAAUUGCUACAGGACAAGCAUUUCUUCAUCUCAGCAGCAACUGUUCCUUAAAACUGUUAAGUCCACAGGCUCAACCGCAUAAAAUUCUCUAUCUUCUGUUUCUAGCAUUGAGUAAGAAAAUGCCAGCUCAUAAGGCUGAGAUGCUGCUUUCCAAUCUCAGCUCCUGAGUCAAGCUCUCAUACACCAGGUACCUCAAUCCAGCUCAGAGGAAAUGGCUUAACUCCCUCCCAAUCAAACCUUUCUCUUAACAAAGAAGCUGGAGUCAAGUUUCCUGCAGGACUUCUGCCUGCUUCUGGAGCUUCUCCACGCCACAGGAAAAAUUUUCAGCUUUCACAAAACUACAAACACCACAAAGAAAGAUUUAAAACACCAACAGUACCAAGGACUAUUUGCUUUUGACAUCUUAUAGAUUCUCCUCCCCAAACAUAUUCAUUUCACCAAGACCCCUCCAAUUUUCAUACAGACACAUACAUAAUACCAAGACUAAACCUACUAUUUUUUUCUGAUCAUCUGUUCUGACUUCUGUUCACCUGUUCACAAAGCAGCAGAUAUCAUAAACAAGCAUGGUUUGCAUUGCAGUUUUCCUUUAAACAAAGAUUUCAGGAGACAGUUCAUGAAACCUAUCUCUGUAGAAGAUUUUUUUUCAUGAAAGUGGGAAAAAAUAAACAAAAUAAUAAAGAUACUGUCCUUAAAACA